GACGAACGCUGGCGGCGUGCUUAACACAUGCAAGUCGAACGAGGUGGCGAACGGGUGAGUAAGGCGUAAUCAACCUGCCCUUCAGAGGGGGACAACAGUUGGACACGACUGCUAAUACCCCAUACUGAGGGAGGGGAUUGCGUCUGUUUAGCUAGUUGGAGGGGUAACGGCCCACCAAGGCGAUGAUCAGUAGCCGGUCUGAGAGGGUGAACGGCCACAUUGGGACUGAGACACGGCCCAGACUCCUACGGGAGGCAGCAGUGGGGAAUCUUCCGCAAUGGACGAAAGUCUGACGGAGCAACGCCGCGUGAGUGAUGACGGCUUUCGGGUUGUAAAGCUCUGUUAAUCGGGACGCGGUACCUGAAUAGAAAGCGACGGCUAACUACGUGCCAGCAGCCGCGGUAAUUC
rnacentral:rRNA from 1 species